rnacentral:rRNA from 1 species
GACGUAGGGCGCGAGCGUUGUCCGGAUUUAUUGGGCGUAAAGAGCUCGUAGGCGGCUUGUUGCGUCGUCCGUGAAAACCUGUGGCUCAACUACAGGCUUGCGGUCGAUACGGGCGGGCUGGAGUUCGGUAGGGGAGACUGGAAUUCCUGGUGUAGCGGUGAAAUGCGCAGAUAUCAGGAGGAACACCGGUGGCGAAGGCGGGUCUCUGGGCCGAUACUGACGCUGAGGAGCGAAAGCAUGGGUAGCGAACAGG